CCGCACCGCGCGGCGCCGCGCCACCUCACCCGUGAUGCUCGCUCGCGGUGUCGGCAUCUUGUUCCAAAUGGUGGGUGCGCAUUAGGCUCGAAUCGCGCGCGCGCGCGCGCGCUGGAUUUGGACCCAACCGAACCCCACCUCGUUCCGUCCACCGCUCUCGGCUCGCGAUUGCAAGUGGAACGGGCCGGCCCACGCCCACCCGUUCCAUCGCCCCUCUGCGCCGGCUCGACUCUACUCGACUCGCUCUCCCUCGGCUCGGCUCACCGCCGACGGAGGACGGCGAGGCUCCCCGCUCCCUCCCGUCUCCAUUGCCGUGAGGUCGUUGCCGAGCAGGAGCGCAACACCGCAGCGGCCUGGACCCGCAGGUCGCCGGCUGCGUUUCCUUCCGAGUGCCGCCGCCGCCCCGCCCUGUGACGAGUGUCGGAGACCUCGGGUUCGACACGGGGAAGGGAGGUCGCUGCCGACACGAUGAGCGCCUCCACCACCUCGAUCCCCGCGGCGGCCAUUUUUGGACCCGAUAGCUUCUAUAUUCGAUAAACUUCUUUGUGGGCGAACUCAAAGGCCUGAAGCUACAGGCCAGGCAUUGGAUGGCUCACAGUUCCCUGGUUCAGGCUCCAUUGAAGCAAACAGGAGGAGAGAAAGGGGUCAAAGGGCACUGGAGCAAAGAUUGGCAGAAAAGCUGGCUGCAGUCAGGAGCUCGGAGGGCACGCCCCAGCCGCAGCAGUAGCAGGAGGAGGAGGGUGCUUCUGAUAAAGUCUGAGCCCUCGUUUCAGUUGGUGGAAUCCGCAGCCAGCAUUGUGCUGUCAGGAGAUUCUUCUGUGAGUUGGGACAUCACAUGAUAUGUUUUCCUUUUUUUUUCACUAUCAUCAUGUAGCCUCGCUGCAACCUGUAGCCAGCCCUGCUCCUAGUAUUUUUGCGCGCGUCAUCGUGUGCGUGAGACUCUGAAUGGUGCAGUAGUUCACAGGCACGACUCACGUAUGUCUGAACUAAUUGUUGU